rnacentral:rRNA from 1 species
AGCGAACGCUGGCGGCAUGCCUAACACAUGCAAGUCGCACGGGGGGGCUUCGGCCUCCCAGUGGCGGACGGGUGAGGAACGCGUAGGGACCUGUCGAGGGGUGGGGGAUAACCGCGGGAAACUGCGGCUAAUACCGCAUGACGCCGCGGCGUGACAGCCGGGGCCAAAGGCGAAAGCCGCCCGCCGAGGGGCCUGCGUCCGAUUAGCUGGUUGGCGGGGUAGCGGCCCACCAAGGCGUCGAUCGGUAGCUGGUCUGAGAGGGUGAUCAGCCACACCGGGACUGAGACACGGCCCGGACUCCUACGGGAGGCAGCAGUGGGGAAUAUUGGACAAUGGGCGCAAGACUGAGCCAGCAAUGCCGCGUGGGUGAAGAAGGUCUUCGGAUUGUAAAGCCCUUUCGGCGGGGACGAUGGUGACGGUACCCGCAGAAGAAGCCCCGGCUAACUUCGUG